GUGAGGAAUUUUGCGCAAUGGGGGCAACCCUGACGCAGCGACGCCGCGUGGAGGACGAAGUCUUUCGGGAUGUAAACUCCUGUCAGUGGGGACGAUAAUGACGGUACCCACAGAGGAAGCACCGGCUAACUCCGUGCCAGCAGCCGCGGUAAGACGGAGGGUGCAAGCGUUGUUCGGAAUUACUGGGCGUAAAGCGUAUGUAGGCGGCAAGUUAAGUUCAAUGUUAAAGCCCACGGCUCAACCGAGGAGAUGCAUUGAAUACUGGCUAGCUAGAGGGUGUUAGAGGAAGACGGAAUUCCCAGUGUAGCGGUGAAAUGCGUAGAUAUUAGGAGGAACAUCGGUAGCGAAAGCGGUCUUCUGGGACAUACCUGACGCUGAGGUACGAAAGCGUGGGGAGCAAACGGGAUUAGAAACCCUGGUAGUCC
rnacentral:rRNA from 1 species